GAAUAUUUUUUUGACUUGUAGCUUCCUGAACCAUCCUUAAAAAUGUUGCAAAUACACUGACACUCCUGCUGUUGAUCUAAAUAGCAACCAGUGUUGGCUUUCAGCUGUAGGGGCCAGUGAGCAGGCUCCAUCCUCACGUCCUCCCGUGUCGGGUGACUCAUCAGCAAGUCUGAGAAUGUGCAGCAGGCUGCGGACCCUGGCAGGAAAGCACAGCAGACAGCAAGAGAGGCCUCUGGGAGCUGACGAGAAUUUGAUCAUGUUCGGCCUGGUGCUAAAAACAAAAUCGAAAAAAAAGAUUAUUGCUAAAAUUGGUGAGUUGGAUUCCAGUGGGAUAUGAUAGGUGGUGAAAGCUCCCUCUGAUGCCCAGAAGUUCAUCUGGAAAAGGAGUGGCAAAAUGAAUUUCUCCAGAUCCUUCCUCUUCAAUACAUUGUUAAAAGAUUGAAAGGCAAAACUCCUCAGCCUGACUUUAACCUGCUAGCACCUGGGACUGAGGGCAGGUCUGUAGCUACAAGCCAGGUCUCCUGUUGAAGGGAAGCUUUCUCUCACUGACCCCUGCCAAGGCCCCCAUAACUCCCUUUGUCUAUCGCAGUACUAAGUUUGGAUGUUUCACCUAUUUCUACCUGGAAAAACUUAAGACCAAGAAAUGCCUUGUAAAAUAAGGUCUACAUAUCUGCUCUUCAAUGAUUUAGGUUAAUGUCUUUCCAGAUUGGUGCCAUGCUCUGCCCUGCUUCAUAGGUCAACCCAAGAGGUGCUUUUUGGGCUGCACUCCACCGACUCACUCCUCUUCAUUGUUACAGUAAUAAAUUUUUCAGUAUCCUGCUGACUUAUUUGGGCAUAUCUGAGUUGGCCAGUCUAGCUUUCAGAGUUCAACAAGGAGUAUGGAAACACUCAGUGUUCCCUUCCAAUCUCAUGUUAUUACAUAUAACGUGAAUGUCAUGCCACUCGUCAUUAAGCUACAGCAGCAUCUGUCUUGUGAUGCUGUCAGACUCUGCAAGUCUAGACAUUUUGCCUCUGACAGAAAGUAAAGGUGGCUUAAAUGGGGCAAGGCCAGGGCAGGAAAGUAUGUGUGUUUACCUUGACCCCGAAGUACCUUUAAAAAUGCAUAAAUAAAUAGGAAAAGGUGCAGAAUCCAAUCAUGUGUUCUCAGUGGUGUAAGUUACACAUCAUGUAUCUGUCGGUCAGGAAACAGGUGUAUGUGGGUGUAAGUGCCAAAGCUGUUUGACUUGCAGCAAGUUGGCAUUUAGUGGGAGUGCAGUGUGAGUGUAACAUACACUCCCAGAUAUGGAAUAACAAGUGAGGGGGAUGUAGUGAAGCAGCUAGAUCAUCAAAGAGUUAAGCAAAUUUGCAGUACCCGCAGGAAAAAAAGAAAAAUUGAAGAUACUGCAUAUUUCACUGUUGAUUUUUUUUUUUUUUUUUCCAUUCAUGUCCACAGUGUCAAAUCUGCUGUUGAUUUCAGAGGGACUGCACAAGCUCCCUACUGUUAUACUUAGUACCACUUCUGCCCCCCUUGAAUCGGCAUCUAGAACAGCUGCAAGAUAUUUUGCAACCAGACGCAAGUUUCCUCUUCCUGUUCUCUGAGCCAACCAGAUGCAAACUGGCCUCAAACCAGAAGCCAUGUAGCUACAGUUAGCAGGCACACAGCCCAAGCUAACAAGCCUUGCUGAGAAGGCAGGAUGUAUUUGCUCAGGCUCAGCACUGUGCUACUGCAGCUACACAGUCUCUGCUGAGCUCAGAGUACAGGCAAUGCCUGUUCCUGGCUACCAGGACCGCAGGCAAAAGCUACUGAUAUCACUGUGAGAAGUAGAAGAAAUGUCAGAAAGUUAUGGAUUUCACCUUUGGCUCUUAAAUAAACCAGAGGGCCCCUACAGUUUUUUGAGACACAUAUUUUAAUACAUGCAUACAUAUAUAUAUAUAUGUAUAUAUAUAUAUAUCUUGAAUAUAUAUAUGGGUCCUGGUGCAGGUUUCAGGAACUCCUAACAGCAGGAGGCCAGUAGGCCAGUAAAAUAAUCUGGAAGUGGAUACAAUGGGUAAUCUUUUGUGCCUUCUGAAUCAUCUCAACAGCAUUUUGUAUAUUCUGUGUGUUCUGGCAUAAAUAAUCUCCUGGACAGGAAAAGGAGCAAAAAAAAUCAACUUGAAAAUUGCUAUACCGCCUUGGUAGAAGAGAAGGGAAAUUGAGGGAGAUCUCCAAAGAUUUGAAAAUGCUUGUAAUAAGCACUUACAUUUUUUCAGUAGAUUUGCCCAUCAGUAGUCAAAGGUCUUAUUCACAUAUCACGUGUAUUUUCCCUGAUAAAAUUGCCUUUUCUUCUGGAAGAUGCAUCUCAUUUUAAAUUGCUGCCAACUCUAAUCAAAACCACCUACGCAACAAUACUGAGCUUUUUUUUCCCACCUCAGUCUCCUAAAAGAUUUUCUUUUAGGAUUGCACAAAAUUGCACAUAAGAAAUUCAAUACAUAGGGAUAAAAGAAUUUAAAUGAACAAGGCCCAGGUCCCAUGUAUGUGUAUUUCAGUGCUCCAGCACCAUUUCUGGCAGACAGUUGAAGAUUUACCCAAUGAUUAAGGUGUUCCUCUGCUACACAUAGAUCUUUCACAGCGUUAGAAGCUUUCUUUCCUCUGAUUACACUGGGUUUUAAUCUAUUUUUCUGCGUGGAGUAAAUUUUUUCAGAAAUUCACACAAUAAGCUGUUGAGGUCUUGAUAGAGCUUAUCAUACUGUGUAAUAAAAUUCCUCAGGUAUUUAUAAGGGAAGCAUGUGGGAUAAAAGUUUAGAGAAGGCUGGCAAUUCAGGUUGGAUACAGCCCACUGGCCAAAAACUGAACAGGUCGUUCACACUGAAUGAGCACCUGAAGAUGAUUCACAUGUAGCAAGUGAUAAUAAAAAGCUUCUUCAGAUGUAGAGGACAUUUUUUAAAUAAGAUGUUACUGAAAGUUUAGGGUCAGAAAGAUAUGGGUAAGAUAGAUUUUCCCGCAGUUCUUUUCUUCAGAUAGUAUAUCUUUAAGAAAAUAUAACUUAUUAGGCAUUUAUAAGGUAGUUUAAUACUGAGGGUUAUUUAGAUCUGAUAUUCCAUGAAAGUUUUACUUCUUACUCUAUCCAAAAUGAGUAUAUUGAACUUAUAUAUUUAAACAGUAUAAGUUGAAGAGGUUAGCAGAUAUCCCCUUCCAAUGAAAUUAUUAAUGACCUGUUCAAAGAAACUGUAAAAAAAAAAAAAAAAGAAAGAAAAAGAAAAAGAGAAAAAGAGAGACACAAAAAAGAAAAAAAUACACAACAUCAAUACCUCUUAUUAACCAUGGCUUUUAGAUUAACCGUGGCUUGCAGCAAGAUAGUUCACAGGUGCAUCAAAAACUGCUCUUACCCAGCAGGUUAUUGAAAUUAAUCCAGCCCAAAUAGAGAGAUAGAGUGCAUCCUCAGCAAGUUUGCUGAUGAUGCGAAGCAAGGAGGAAUGGCUGACAGACUAGAAAACCGUGCUGCUGUUCAGCAAGACAGAAUAACCUGGACAGACUAGAAGGUUGGGCAAAGAGGUGCCUGAUGAGGUUCCAGAAAGUCAAGUAUAGAGUCCCCUAUGCUUGUGGAGGAACAAUGCAUGCUCAUGCAUGCAUCAGUGCAGAACAGGGGCUGACCUGCUAGAGAGGAGCUCUGCAAAGAAGAAUAUGAAUGUCGUGAUGGCCAAUGGUUUAGCCAGCAGUUUGCUCUUGUGGUGAAGAAGAUCAGUGGUCUCUGGAGUGUAUUAAAAAGUGUAUGGCUGCUAAAAAGAGCAGGUUGAAACACAUCUGGAGUACUGUGCCCUCUUCUGUGCCUUUGGAAUGGCUGCUGUGGACACAGAAGGUGUUAAGC